CGGGUGAGUAAUGUAUGGGGAUCAGCCUGAUGGCGGGGGAUAACUACUGGAAACGGUAGCUAAUACCGCAUAAUGUCUGCGGACCAAAGCGGGGGACCUCCGGGCCUCGCGCCAUCAGAUGAACCCAUAUGGGAUUAGCUUGUAGGUAAGGUAACGGCUUACCUAGGCGACGAUCCCUAGCUGGUCUGAGAGGAUGAUCAGCCACACUGGGACUGAGACACGGCCCAG
rnacentral:rRNA from 1 species